UACGUAGGGGGCGAGCGUUGUCCGGAUUCAUUGGGCGUAAAGAGCUCGUAGGCGGCUUGGCAAGCCGGGUGUGAAAACUCCAGGCUCAACCUGGAGACGCCACCCGGGACUGCUAUGGCUAGAGUCCGGUAGGGGAUCACGGAAUUCCUGGUGUAGCGGUGAAAUGCGCAGAUAUCAGGAGGAACACCGGUGGCGAAGGCGGUGAUCUGGGCCGGCACUGACGCUGAGGCGCGAAAGCUAGGGGAGCGAACGGG
rnacentral:rRNA from 1 species